rnacentral:rRNA from 1 species
UACGUAGGGUGCAAGCGUUGUCCGGAAUUAUUGGGCGUAAAGAGCUCGUAGGCGGUUUGUCGCGUCUGCUGUGAAAACUCGGGGCUUAACUCCGGGCCUGCAGUGGGUACGGGCAGACUAGAGUGCGGUAGGGGAGACUGGAAUUCCUGGUGUAGCGGUGAAAUGCGUAGAUAUCGGGAGGAACACCAGUGGCGAAGGCGACUUCCUGGCCUGUUCUUGACGCUGAGGCGCGAAGGCCAGGGGAGCAAACGGG